AGAGUUCGAUCAUGGCUCAGGACGAACGCUGGCGGUGCGCCUUAUGCAUGCAAGUUGAGCGAAGCUUUUUGGUAGUUUACUACUAGAAAUGACUGAGCGGCGAACGGGUGAGUAACGCGUGAGCAAUCUACCUUAGUUACUGGGAUAGCCCGAGGAAACUCGGAUUAAUACCAGAUAUUCUUAUUUUUUCACAUGAAGUUUUAAGGAAAGGUCAGCCGAACUAAGAUGAGCUCGCGUUCUAUCAGCUAGUUGGUGGGGUAAAAGCCUACCAAGGCUACGACGGAUAGCUGGUCUGAGAGGACGAUCAGCCACACUGGGACUGAGACACGGCCCAGACUCCUACGGGAGGCUGCAGCAGGGAAUAUUGUGCAAUGAGCGAAAGCUUGACACAGCGACACCGCGUGUGGGAUGACGGUUCUAGGAUUGUAAACCACUUUCAGGAGGGAAGAAAAUGACGGUACCUCCAUAAGAAGACCCGGCCAACUAUGUGCCAGCCGCCGCGGUAAU
rnacentral:rRNA from 1 species